rnacentral:rRNA from 1 species
GACGAACGCUGGCGGCGUGCUUAACACAUGCAAGUCGAGCGAGCCUUCGGGCUAGCGGCGAACGGGUGAGUAACACGUGGGCAAUCUGCCCCUAGCUCUGGGAUAACUCCGGGAAACCGGGGCUAAUACCAGAUACGACCUCGAGAGGCAUCUCUCUUGGUGGAAAGAUUUAUCGGCUAGGGAUGAGCCCGCGGCCUAUCAGCUUGUUGGUGGGGUAACGGCCUACCAAGGCGACGACGGGUAGCCGGCCUGGGAGGGUGACCGGCCACACUGGGACUGAGAUACGGCCCAGACUCCUACGGGAGGCAGCAGUGGGGAAUAUUGCACAAUGGGCGCAAGCCUGAUGCAGCGACGCCGCGUGAGGGAUGACGGCCUUCGGGUUGUAAACCUCUUUCAGCAGGGACGAAGCGCAAGUGACGGUACCUGUAGAAGAAGGACCGGCCAACUACGUGCCAGCAGCCGCCGUAACAC